rnacentral:rRNA from 1 species
CAGUAGCCGCGGUAAAACGGAGGGUGCAAGCGUUAAUCGGAAUUACUGGGCGUAAAGCGUGCGUAGGCGGUUCGUUAAGUCUGUUGUGAAAGCCCCGGGCUCAACCUGGGAAUGGCAAUGGAUACUGGCGAGCUAGAGUGUGUCAGAGGAUGGUGGAAUUCCCGGUGUAGCGGUGAAAUGCGUAGAGAUCGGGAGGAACAUCAGUGGCGAAGGCGGCCAUCUGGGACAACACUGACGCUGAGGCACGAAAGCGUGGGGAGCAAACAGGAUUAGAUACCCCCGUAGUCCCUGUCUCUUAUAU